GUGUCAGCAGCCGCGGUAAUACAGAGGGUGCAAGCGUUGUUCGGAAUUAUUGGGCGUAAAGCGCGUGUAGGCGGUUCAGCAAGUCGGAUGUGAAAGCCCUCGGCUUAACCGAGGAAGGGCGUUCGAAACUACUGAACUUGAGUGCCGGAGAGGGUGGCGGAAUUCCCGGUGUAGAGGUGAAAUUCGUAGAUAUCGGGAGGAACACCAGCGGCGAAGGCGGCCACCUGGACGGUAACUGACGCUGAGACGCGAAAGCGUGGGGAGCAAACAGGAUUAGAUACCCCCGUAGUCC
rnacentral:rRNA from 1 species